AGAGUUUGAUCAUGGCUCAGGAUUAACGCUGGCGGCGUGCCUAACACAUGCAAGUCGAACGAAAUAUCUUCGGAUAUUUAGUGGCGAACGGGUGAGUAAUGUACAGGUAAUGUACCUUCGUACUGCGAAUAACAAGCUGAAAAGUUUGCUAAUACGGAAUAGUUUCAUUAGGGGGCAUCCUUUGAUGAAUAAAGAUUUAUCGUGCGGAGAUCAGCCUGUAUCCUAUUAGUUAGUUGGUGGGGUAAUGGCCUACCAAGACGACGAUGGGUAACUGGUCUGAGAGGAUGAGCAGUCACAUUGGAACUGAGAUACGGUCCAAACUCCUACGGGAGGCAGCAGUGAGGAAUUUUGCGCAAUGGGGGAAACCCUGACGCCAGCAACGCCGCGUGAGUGAAGACGGCCUUCGGGUUGUAAAGCUCUGUCGUGUAUGACGAGUAGGGACGGUAAUACACAAGGAAGCCUCGGCUAACUACGUGCCAGCCGCCGC
rnacentral:rRNA from 1 species